ensembl:lncRNA
UACACACUAAUUUUUUUAAAUUAAAGAUACAAAGUUUACUUAUAUAUUUUACAAUAUGGAAAUAAGGUUAUGAGAAAAGGAGAAUUCCAGAUGGAAAACCUCAAAUACCUUUGGAAAAUAAGUCUCUUAUCCCUUUAUGCACUAAAAAUACCUAUAUUAAAUUUUCCCAUGAAAACAUUUUGUGAUAAAAUGACAAGGGGCUGAAAUGAAGACCUUUAAUACAAUAGAGUUAGUUUCAUGGUUGUAAGGCAGUUGUCACAUAAGUCAUCAUCAUCAUUUUAAGGCAGAUGACAAAAUUAAAUCUAACUGAAAAUAAGAGCAUUCAAUUUCAAUUACCAAGGUGCAAUUUUAUGUUUCUUUUUCUUUGUUACAUUAAUCUAGUAUUAGACGAUAUUGAAGAAGGUUUUAUUGUAUAGGCACAUGAAAAAUAACAAUGCUUAGGCUAAGUUAAAAACAUCUUCUCACUAGAUAAUUCAACAGAUAAUUUCUGGAAACAAAUUUAAGAUUAUUAGUCUAUCCAAAUAAUAAAUAUAAAGCAUUCUUAUUAUGGGUGUUCUUAAAAUGAUGUAACUAUAAAUUUAAUGCAGACAGGUUUUAUAAUGCUAGUUUUAAGCAACUUUAAAAGACAGUUUUAAGUCACCACCAGGCUUUGUUUUUAGAAAACAACUUUUAAAUUGUGUAGCAUAUAAAAAAGCCAAUGUAUUCUUUUGUUUCUUGUAACAGUGAUGGCAAAAUAAGACUUGCCUGAAAAACCAUAAAGCUACUGGGAAUAUGGUCCCAUUAAUAAGCUGUUUCCAUGACAAACCCUAUUUUCAAAUUAUUUGGUUUGCCUAUUUUAUUUUUUUAAGCCAGCUAUCAAUUGGAGUCAAUUUUCCCCCUUACAGUGUGUGUGCUUGGUUCAGAUUUGUAGUAAAUCUAUGCAUAGUAUGAAAGCUUUCUAAUGCUCUGUUUAAAAAAAAAAAAAAGGCCCGUUUUUACUUAUAUUUUGUGGGCGGCAGAAAGUCAUAUUUUUAAUCUCAAAGCCAGUCAGUGUCAAACAUAUGCAAAACAGCUGGACUGGAUUUUUCGGUUUGUCUGAGGCAGGCACUUGUUAGCCUGAGUUGGUCUUGGUUCUUUUGUCUCCUCAGAGCACUGAAGCCUUCCGCUGUAGUCGUCAUUCUCAGUCUAGCAGUGAACUAGGAAAGGAGACCACAGUGAGGAGUUGGUGGCCAAUUAAAAAAAACGCCUAAACCACAAACCAUUUCAGGACUUGAGUGACUUCAGAUCACUUUCCAUGAUACCAUGUUUCAAUCCUGGUACAUAUUUAUUUUUUUAAAGGAUGUCAUAUUUUUCAGUGUGUAUUUGUGUUCAUCUUCAGCUGCUCUUUUAUUGCUUUCUCAUCCAUCUGUUGGCUAUAAGCCAGAUUUUAUGUCAUGUACAUGCAAUUAAUUGAAACCAGUGUUAUGGCACUGGAUAGCUCUGAUACAUUUCUGAUUAUAAUGUUCUGUGUAACUGGGGCCUAAGAGAUAGUCAAAAUGUGAUCAUUACAUAUGUCUUGAGGUGGACACUAGGAAUAUUGUCAAUAAAUACUUCAUGGAAUAUAUUAAUACAAACAUAAAAGUCUUGCAGGAUUAAGCUGUAGAAAUAAAAAUAAGAUGUGGACUACAUAUAAGAGUUCCCC